GGAAUAAGAAGAAGAAGAAUAAAGAAAUAAUCAGGUUAGCAAGACGAGCAGUGAGUCCUCCAUCAUCGGAUCAAUAUUCUUGUUAAGCUACACCUUUGAUUGAAGAUCACCUGAAAGGGGUUGGAUUUUGUUAUGUUAUAUUUGUUCAAGAGUAUAAGUUGGUCAUGCUUUUGAUAAGUGCAUUGAUUGAAUGUUGAAGGCCAGAAACACAUACAUUUAAUUUUUCGUGCGGAGAAUGCACGAUUACCCUAGAAGAUAUGGUCUUCCAACUCGGGGUACCAACAAAUGGAAUGCCGAUGGUGAUGAGAAAUGAUUACAAUAAUGUGAAAACACUUUGCAAUGAGUUUCUUGGGUAGACAACAUAAGCCUAGAUUUAAAAGGGUGGCGUUUGAGGCUGUCGUGGUUGAAGAAUCAAUUUAAACUCCAAGAAAAUAUUACCCAAGAAGAAAUUUUAUAAGCAAUUCGAGCAUAUAUCUUGCAGUUGAUUGGGGGAGUUUUGAUGUCAGAUAAAUCUGGUAAUCUGGUUCACACGCAGUAUCUCCAGUUUUUUUUUAGAAAUUUUGAGAAUACGCGUCAAUAUAGUUGAGGAUCUGCGAUAUUGGCAUUCUUGUACCGUGAGAUGGGAAAGACAUCAGUAAUCGUCAAGAAUAUUAAUAUAGCAAAAAUCGAUGGAUAUCUGAUGUUGCUAAAAUCUUGGGCUUGACACAAACUUUCAUUUUUAACAUCGAUUAGUCGAACAACGAUUGACUUUCCUCUUGCCAGAA